rnacentral:lncRNA from 1 species
UUCCCCAAACCUUAAAAGACAAAACACACAAACAAAUAAAACCUUGCCAGCCCUCUCUUUUCUACUUCUUGGCUCAUCAUUGAGCUAAAAUUCUCGAGGAGGUUGUAGUCACCUCCCAGCUGCCAGACCCGGUCCUGUUUUCUGUCCUCCUACGUGCAUCUUCAGUAGCUUUGGAGGCUCUUGAACAUGCACUUCUUUCUGAAAAGCCCUCCUACUCCAACCUCUCCACCAGUCCCCCCUCUUCAGUUUCCCCACAGAUCACUUUCUGUUACCAAUACUUUUAAAUUUUCCUCACAAUUUCUCCUUCUCUGCCCACACUUAGAAGUCAGUGUUUGCCAGAUACUAUGCUGUCCUUGGACUUCGUCUUUUCCCUCUCACUCAAAAUGUUUUCCCAUGUGUAGUAUUGUCCCAAAUGAAAUUGCUAUUUUCAUAGGUAAAGAUCAAGUGUUGGCCAUUUCAUAUGGUUCAGUCCAUAAUAAUCUCCACAUCCCUCUUUCUAGCCCUGUUCUUUCUCCUAAGAUUAGACAAAUAUUUCCAGUGACCAACUGGAUUCUUCCAACUGGACUGCCUUAAGUUACCUCAAAACUAAUGUGUCUCAUAUGGGACGCUUUUAUUGAUCACCUCCUCUACCUCACGUAUUCUUGGUCUUGAUUCCUGGUGUCACAACCUCCUCAGUUUUCUAGUUUAGGAAUUUUAGUCAUUCUUUUUUUUUUUCAUUUUUUCAAGUUUUAUUGAACUAUGGUUUAUUUACAAAGUUGUGAUAGUGUCUGCUGUACAACAGAGUGAUUCAGUUAUACACAUACACACAUCUGUUCUUUUUCAGAUUCUUUUCCCACAUAGAUUAUCACAGAAUAAUGGGUAGAGUUCCCAGGUUGCCACUGGCUAGUCAUAUACCUCAGUGUGCACAUGCCAGUCCCAAACCCCCAGUCCAUUCCUCCCCCAGCUGUCCCCCUUGGCAACCAUAAGUUUUCAAAGUCUGUGAGUCUGUUUCUGUUCUAUAAAUAAGUUCAUUUGUAUCCAUUUUUAAGAUUCCACGUAUAAGUCAUAGCAUAUGAUGCCCGUCUUUCACUAGAAUUCUGCCUCAUAAAUAUCCCCACUGUAUUUCAUUAGGUCAGGCCAUCGCCAUUGUUCAUCUGGGGGUUGCCAUGGCUCCAUCCAUGGAAUCUACAUGACUGUGUCCAUUCCAUCCUUUCUAUAUCACCAGAAAUGUCUUUUGAAGAACCAAACCCAACCAUGUGACUCUAAAACUCAUCAAAAUCCAGUUCCAGCCCAUAGCUGUGACUCAGCUUCUGUUGCUCUGACCCUUCCACCCUCCAUCACAGUCAUUCUGGUGGAAUGGCUUGUUGUUUCCUGAAACACCAGACUCUUUGAACCUUGCGCUUUCUUCUGUCUGAAAUGUCCUUCACAUCCUCUAAGAAAUGCCUAUGCAGCCUCUUAGAGCCAUCUUAAAGAUCUCUUCUUCCAUCAAGCCCUUCCCCAGUUCUCCCAAACAAUCUGGUCCUUCCCCAAUUUCCAAACGUUCUGCCCUGUAUCUCUUCUGGCACUUUGCAUGCCACCUGGUAGCUUAAUUUCUCCAUUUAAAUGUUGGUCUCCAAUAAGUUAGAAAUUCAGAUCAUGUCUCUCUUAUGACCCACACUAGAUACUUAAUAAAUAGUUAUUCAAUAAUUAAAGGAGGUAAUUACGAGACACUUGGGCCAAGACCUGAAUUCAAGGCUGAAAUGGAUUAAAGAGUUUUCAGGUCCAAGUUUAUGUUUCUGAAUAAACUCAUAUUGCUGCCCUGGAAAUCUAAGUACUCUGCUUUCCUAGACUGCAAGAUGAGAAAAUAAAUAUUCAUUUAUGUGUAGUAUUUAAUUAAUAACACAAUAGAUAGGAGUUAGAUCUCCAAAGCAAAAUUAUGGUUGAGAAUGUCCACAUUGACAUGGAAUUGUGUAUUUCAUUUUCGGUGGUCUUGUACAAUGUCAUGGCACAAUUAUUUCUAUAAUCAGUGUAUAUCCAUUUCUUCUUUCAUUGAAGUGACUUGAGCAAGAAUUCCCCUUGGGAUUUCAGAGGAAGCUGUAGCACAGAGAGGGUACGAAUAAUUCAACCUUUCCAUUUAGUGUUCCUUGAAAAAUUAGAAAGAUUCCCUCUUGACACAAAUCCCCAGUCUAAGUUUGAUGACCAGAAAGGAUGGGAACCCAAAGCUGUUUUUAGGUCACUGGUCCUCAGAGUGUCAGCUGUUGGCAAUACCCACUAUUGCCCGAGAGUAAAACAGAGAAGGAAAGAGGAAGCCACAUUCAUGUUGAUAACUCAGUGUAGGGAAUGAACCUGUGGCUAUCUUCCUUGGACCUGGUAGGCUGCUGUUAGCAUAGUGGACCUGUGGCUGCCUUGCUCAGCUCCUGCCUAACACACAAGCUGCCUCAUGCUUGAGGAAGCACCAAAUCAAUUGCACUUUCUUGCAUUAAAUGUGCUCUUUCCUGCCUCUUUGCUUUUGUUCAUGCUGUUCUCUCUGCCUACAAUUCGGCUUCGGCUUCUCCUAUCCAUUUUGAUGAAUGAAGCCCUAAUCGGGAUAAAUGCAGCCAUCACAUCUCUAAACCCAUCUCUGAUUCAUUCCAUUUCCUUCCCAGGGUGGGUUAUGCUGUUCUGAAGUUCCACCAUGUAUAGUUGUGCAGUCACCUGGCCUAGGAAAUAAGUCAUGGAAUUCCAGCCCAAGAUCCAUGGCUCAGUGUGUGCCUUCAGGGUUAGAACUGUUUCCUGUUUCACACAAAAAUGCCCCCAUAGUGCCCGUUUGUGUCCCCAUCACACCAUGACCACAGUGAACUAUAAAUACCUAUUUGUCUAUUUCCCCCACUAGUCCCUCAGAUGGCCAACUUCUGACUUAGCACAGUGUUUGGCACUGAGUAACUGUUGGUUGAAAGAAAUAGUGGCCUCUAACAACUAGUAAGAAUUAAACACUGUUCUAGAAACGGUAGAUGCCUCAAGUCAUUUAUUUCUCAUGACAAUCCUGAGGAGGUGUGCUUUUAGCCAGUUUUCAGAAGAGCGUACUGAAACCCAGGUGAUGAAGAAAGGUGCACGUGUCACCACUGGUCCACAUGGAGCCAGAAUUCUCCGUCGGGCCCCAGAUCCAUCCCGAAGUCACUGUGCCAUGCUGCCUCUUGAUGGAUGAGAACUUGUCAGGACUCUAUUUCCUUGUGUUUGUUUUCCUUUUGGGGGAAAAAAAAGUGGGGGAGGGGGAGUUGUUAGGAAUUCCCUGGUGGCUCCAUGGGUUAAGGAUCUGGUGUUGCUACUGCUGUGACUCUGGUUACAGCAGUGGGGCAGGUUUGAUCCCAGGCCCAGGAACUUCCGCAUACCGAGGGCGUGGCCAAAAAAAGGUCCUUGUUGGCAACAUCUGGGAACCCCACUUCCAAUCAAGACACUUGCCCAGGUAACCCUGUGCCUCCACUACACAUAUGCUCCCACGUUCUGAGAACUCCUUUCUUAUAGAGUCACUUCCUGACUUUUCCAGGGGAUGCUGGAGAUUCUGUAUAUAGAAGGUGAGCUGAAGUGCCAGGCCUUUGGGGCAAAGAUAUCUGGGUCUAGGAGUUGCAGAAAGAAGCAUGGCAUGUAUCAUGUAAGGAAGAGCAGGAAGGGAGGGGCUGAUCACAAGCACAGUGAUGGGAAGAAAAGAAUGGAGGCUAAAAUCACUCAUUUAGUCACUUAGAACAAUUAAAUAGCAAAGGGUCAUCUUGGAGAGGGUUAAAAAGGGCAGGCCAGAUCGGGUUGGGGUGCUGUGGGAGCAGGGGACCGGGACAAAGGAAAUCAGCAGCCUUGCCAUGUGUGUGGAGGUACCUUCCUGCAACAUUUUUGUUGCUGAGGAUGAAGAUGGAUAGAGUGUGAGAACCAAGAACCUUCUCUAGGUUCAGAAGGGUGUGUGUGUCACAGCUGCUCAAAAUUCUGCUCAGAGCAAGGUCUGUCAGCAGAGAGGGAGUCCUGGGAGUGGAGGGCUUUCCAGAAGGGAUGACUAGGAUUGAGGCAAUGGUAAGAAUUGAGGCUCUGUGGAGGCAUGGACCAGGCGUGGAUGGCAAGAGGCACCUGGAAGCCUCGGAGAAUGAGACAGGGGCUCUGGGGUCUGACAUCCACACGAGGAAACUUUCACCUUGGGCCCACUCUCUUGACCAGGUCUGAGGCCCCCCGAUGCUAUCUGAGGUGUAUUCCACUAGCUCUCUCCCCUGUUCUCUGCCACUCCUGGGCCGCCACAUCCUUGUUGGUUGUGGAAUGAGAAUAAAACACCAGAGGAGGUGUGGGCUGAAGCCAGCAGCUUUAAAUAAGAAAGGCUUAGCCGCAGGUAUGGGGCCUGGCCAUUGAUGUGGGCGGUUGGUGGCCAGGAAUUUGGCCUCCCCUUCUUGUCCUGACUCAGCCCGUGGCCUGUGGGUCACAGCCUGUGGGUGACUUGGUUCCUCAAACCCCAACUCAGGGAUGAUGGACCUUGCUACUCUGUGAGGGGUACUAAUUAAAGUUUGCAGACUGCGUGGCCAUGCAGGGAUAAAAGGGGUUAAACACAGAGUGUCACCUCGAGUUCUGGGAAGUGGUGCCAUCAGCAUCAUAAUUGGGAUGGAAGCAGACAGAUAAAAUCCAUCUUAGAACACGGGCUCUGUGGAGCAGGGCCCUCGGUGGAGAAUCUGCAGGGACAGCCACACGGGUGCCCAUACUAGUUGAGAGGGAAACAUGGAUUUGCCUGUGGGACCUGUGUCCCUAGGCCAGCACUUUCCCCCAAGAUUUUAUAAACAGUGAAGAGAGCUGGUUCUCAAAUGUCACAGAUUUCAAGUUUUCCUUUAGAGCCUUUGCUUGUCACCCUCCAAACCCCACAGGGAACUUGCUGGCAGAAAACACAUCCCGGUGGUGGUGGUGGUGGUGGGGGUCCGGCUGAGCUAUGGAUGGGGGGUGAGGGACAUUUCGGUGAAGGAAACCCAGCACUUUCCUUCUCUCCAUAGCAGCUUUCAUCGGAGGCUGGAGAAUGGGAGCUCGGGCGCUCGGGAUCUCAGAGGCUUGCAGCCAGUGCCUCUUCCUCCCAGACCCUGGCCCCACUCCACUCCCCAGGUACCUUUGACAAGAAGCCACAGAGACGUGGCUGUCACAGAGCCGGGGUCGCAGGCUGCUGCCCUCUUCACUCUGUCUCACCUGUGCCAGCUGAGACCCUGGCGCGGUGUCUGCUGAAUUGGUCAAAACGAUGUCAUGUGCGAGGCUAGUUUUCUGGAAAUGAAAAUCAGAAUCUCUUGGAGAAACUAGAAUGCCUUAUAGAUGGCAGAGGACAGCUACCCAGCAUCAAGUGGCCGUGGAUGGCGGCAAGCAUGACGGAUGUGCUUCUGGGCCUCCAGGUGGGAAGAGAUUGAAUAAU